UACGUAGGGUGCAAGCGUUAAUCGGAAUCACUGGGCGUAAAGCGUGCGUAGGUGGAUGUUUAAGUGUGAUGUUAAAUCGUGUGGCUCAACCAUAUCGAUGCAUCGCAUACUGGACGUCUAGAGGACAGCAGAGGCAAGUGGAAUUUGUAGUGUAGCAGUGAAAUGCGUAGAUAUUACAAGGAACACCAAUGGCGAAGGCAGCUUGCUGGGCUACUCCAUGACACUGGAGGUACGAAAGCGUGGGGAGCGAACAGG
rnacentral:rRNA from 1 species